AUGGUCAUGGAUGCACUACUUCAGUUACUAAUUCUUCCGAUUCUACUAAUUCAAUGUGAUGAUUUUCAUGUACAAAUCAACGGACUUAACAACCAUGAUGACAUAAAAUUGAAUGUUGUAAAAAUUAAGACCUGGCAUAUAUCAUGCACUGAUUUAAACCCAGAAUCUGCAAACAAGGAAGGGGAAAUCUGUAACUCUUACAAAGAAUGCGGAUUCAGUAAAACUACAGAAUUAAAGCAUACAGAUUGCGAAAUAAAAGAGAAAAAUGGGAAGUUGUCCAUAUCCUGCAAUGAAUGUAAAGAUGAAGGUUGUGGAUGGAAAAGCAACAAAAAGUUUAACAAUAUAAAACAUGCCAGUUGCAGAGAAAAUUUCAAAGAAAAAAAUUCCACAGACAUAAAUACAUGGAAGGAUGUUACAAGUGCUGCCUUAUAUCUGAACGGUACCAGAGAGCAUUUAACGCUCUAUUUGGAACGUACAGAGGGCACUGAUGGAGAAAACAAAGACGAACAAAAAGACCCAUAUGCUCCAACUAUUACAGAUUUCUCUGUCAAGAACAUUUCAGCGGGUGAAAUUAUCAUUAUAGUCCUCUGCAUCAUUAUACUUAUACUACUGGUAAGUAAAUCAAUGUUAUUUUGGCACAAUUACUUGUUGUUUCCUACAUUAUAUGUU
rnacentral:lncRNA from 1 species